rnacentral:lncRNA from 1 species
AGUGAGCCCCAGAUCCAGGGACUAAGGCAGCAGGGGUGAAAGCAGGUAGGGGGAAAGGCGGGAUUUGGGGGACAGGCAGCAUGGGGGAGGGAGCAGGCAGCGGGGGAUUGAGGGGAACUAGCAGCACGGGGGUUGGGGCACAAGCAGUACGGGGGAGGAAGCAGGCAGUCGGGGGUUUGGGGGGACAGGGAGCACGGGAGACGAAGCAGGCAGCCGGGGGUUUUGGGGGGACAGGCAGCGGGGGAGAGAGCAGGAGCAGGGGGUUUUGGUGGGACAGGCAGCGGGGGAGGAAGGAGGCGGCAGGGGGUCUGGGGGAGACAGGCAGCGAGGGAGGGGCGAGCGGGGCUCCUCCCACGGGAUCCCCCGAGUGCGCCCGCGACGAGGGGUGCCGGUCCUCAAACUCCCGCUGCUGGAGCAGGCAGCAGGAAGUACCUCACCUUUCAGGAUGGGGGCCGCCAUGACAGACGGCGGGAUCCGGCCAGCUGGCCUACGCGGUGCUUGCGAGCCUGGCGGCGCGCGCGGGCACUGGGCAUGCGCGGGGUGAGCGCGCCGCCGUCACCGCGCUCCGCUGAAUCCGCGUUUCCGGGAUUUCUCUGUAGUGACUUAGAAGCUACCCGGCGCCUCAUCUGGGCUCACCUGAGCUGAGGAUCAGGAAGGGGAGGGGGCACAGUCAUUCCCUCGCGGACGCGGCGGGACCCCAGCGGACGGCUUUGUGCGGACUUUCGGCACCGUUAUGCCCCCCUAGCCCGACACCACCUGGGGCUGGCGCGCCACGUUACUGUUCAGGGCCAGACGCACCGCCCUGCCUGCUCCGGGGAGCCGGACCUCCGAUCCCGGGGAUGGGGGACCCCGAGACCUCAGACCCAACGGAGGGGACUCUGAUACCUCAGACCCCACGCGGGGACCCCGAGGCUUCAGACCCCCACAGGGUGACCCCGAGAUCUCAGACCCCCGCAGGAGUACCUCCAGACCUCAAAUCCCCAGUAAGGGAAUGAAAGAGACUUCGGAUCCCUGAGGCAGCAAAUCCCUGUAGGGGCAUCCCAGGACUCAGGUCACCGCGGGGUGAACCCAGACCUCACAUUCAGGCAAUCCCCAGGACGCCGAUCGGCUGGCACUACCCACUGUCCCGGCCACCCCCCCUGGAGCUCAAAGGCUUGGCCCUCCAGCUGCUCCACCCUGCCGGCAACCAGGCUCAAACCUGCAGCCCGCGGAUCCCCUGCCCCGGAAGCAACCAGAUUCGCGGGAGGUUACCUGACUGAUCCAAGAUGGAGUCUUGCUCUGUUGCCAGGCUGGAGUGCAGUGGCAGGAUCUCAGCUCCCUACAAUCCCUGCCUCCCGGGUUCAAGCGAUUCCCCUGCCUCAGCCUGCUGAGUAGCUGGGACUACAGGCACACACCACCAUGGCUGGCUAGUUAUUGUAUUUUUAGUAGAGAUGAGGGUUCACCAUAUUGGCCAGGAUGGUCUCCAGCUCCUGACCUCGUGAUCUACCCGCCUCAGCCUCCGAAAGUGCUAGGAUUACAGGAUAAGCCACCAGGCCCAGACAUAUUUUUAAUUGACUAUUUAAGUAGACCUUGGUAAUAACUGCUUUUCUGUUUUUCACUGCAUACUAGCAGGCAAGGGCAAUUUUUUAGCCAGCCAAUACCGC